UGCAACAGUGCAGCAGAAAGUAAUAGAAGCUCGGCUCGCAUGCAAUUUUCAUUAGUGGGAAAAUUGUUUGAUAUUUAAGAGGCAAGCGAGCAGACCAGACACACACGCAGAUACACAGACACAUUCCAAGCCAAAUUAAUAAUAGAAAAAGGCAAACAAAAAACAAAUAAAAGUUUAAACCAAAACGAAACACACACUCGAGGGGGCGAGCGGAGAGCCAAACGACCAAAAUGUGGCGGCAGUCAACGAUACUGGCCGCGUUAUUAGUGGCUCUUUUGUGUGCGGGCAGUGCAGAAAGCAAAGGCAAUCGCCCACCAAGAAUCACCAAACAACCGGCACCCGGAGAACUGCUCUUCAAAGUAGCGCAGCAGAACAAGGAAAUUGACAAUCCAUUCAUAAUCGAGUGCGAAGCCGAUGGACAACCCGAGCCAGAAUAUAGUUGGAUCAAGAACGGCAAGAAGUUCGACUGGCAGGCGUACGACAACCGCAUGCUGCGACAGCCAGGUCGUGGAACCCUGGUGAUCACCAUUCCCAAGGACGAGGAUCGCGGCCACUACCAGUGCUUCGCGUCCAACGAAUUCGGAACGGCCACCUCGAACUCGGUGUAUGUGCGUAAGGCUGAGCUGAAUGCAUUCAAGGAUGAGCCGCCCAAGUCGCAGGAGGCAGUCGAGGGUGAGCCCUUCAUGCUGAAGUGUGCCGCACCCGAUGGCUUUCCCAGUCCCACGGUCAACUGGAUGAUACAGGACUCGUUCGAUGGCAACAUCAAGUCGAUCAACAACUCACGCAUGACCCUCGAUCCCGAGGGCAAUCUCUGGUUCUCGAAUGUUACCCGUGAGGAUGCCAGCUCCGAUUUCUACUACGCCUGCUCGGCCACCUCCGUGUUCCGCAGUGAAUACAAGAUCGGCAACAAGGUGCUCCUGGAUGUCAAGCAGAUGGGCGUUAGUGCCUCCCAGAACAAGCAUCCGCCCGUGCGUCAGUAUGUGUCGCGUCGCCAAUCCCUGGCGCUGCGUGGCAAGCGAAUGGAACUGUUUUGCAUCUACGGUGGUACCCCGCUGCCGCAGACCGUGUGGAGCAGGGAUGGCCAGCGGAUACAGUGGAGCGAUCGCAUAACGCAAGGACACUAUGGCAAGUCCCUGGUCAUUCGGCAGACAAACUUCGAUGAUGCCGGCACAUACACCUGCGACGUGUCGAACGGUGUGGGCAAUGCCCAGUCCUUCUCCAUCAUCCUGAACGUUAACUCCGUGCCGUACUUUACCAAAGAGCCCGAAAUCGCCACCGCAGCCGAGGACGAAGAGGUGGUCUUCGAGUGUCGCGCCGCUGGUGUACCAGAGCCCAAGAUCAGUUGGAUUCACAAUGGCAAUCCCAUCGAGCAGAGUACUCCGAAUCCCCGACGAACGGUCACGGACAACACAAUUCGCAUCAUCAAUCUGGUUAAGGGCGAUACUGGCAACUACGGUUGCAACGCCACCAAUUCCCUGGGUUACGUGUACAAGGAUGUCUACCUUAAUGUCCAGGCUGAGCCGCCAACGAUCUCUGAAGCUCCGGCCGCUGUGUCCACUGUGGACGGCCGGAAUGUGACCAUCAAGUGCAGGGUUAAUGGCUCACCCAAGCCUCUGGUUAAGUGGCUGAGGUCCAGCAAUUGGCUGACCGGUGGUCGUUACAAUGUCCAGGCAAACGGCGAUCUGGAGAUCCAGGAUGUGACAUUCUCGGAUGCCGGCAAGUACACGUGCUAUGCGCAGAAUAAGUUUGGCGAAAUCCAAGCCGAUGGCUCGCUGGUGGUCAAGGAGCACACCCGAAUCACCCAGGAGCCGCAGAACUACGAGGUGGCCGCCGGACAAUCGGCCACGUUCCGCUGCAACGAGGCCCACGACGAUACGCUGGAGAUUGAGAUCGAUUGGUGGAAGGAUGGCCAGUCCAUUGACUUUGAGGCCCAGCCGCGUUUCGUGAAGACCAACGAUAACUCCCUAACGAUUGCCAAGACAAUAGAGCUGGAUUCUGGCGAGUAUACGUGCGUGGCCAGGACCCGAUUGGAUGAGGCCACUGCCAGGGCGAAUUUGAUUGUCCAGGAUGUGCCGAAUGCGCCAAAACUUACGGGCAUCACCUGCCAGGCCGACAAGGCCGAGAUCCACUGGGAGCAACAGGGCGACAAUCGUUCGCCCAUCCUGCACUAUACCAUUCAGUUCAAUACAUCGUUCACGCCCUCCUCCUGGGAUGCCGCCUACGAGAAGGUGCCCAACACGGACUCCUCGUUCGUCGUCCAGAUGUCACCGUGGGCCAACUACACGUUCCGUGUGAUUGCCUUCAACAAGAUCGGAGCAUCGCCGCCGUCGGCGCACAGCGAUAGUUGCACCACCCAGCCGGAUGUGCCGUUCAAGAAUCCCGACAAUGUCGUUGGCCAGGGCAAUGAGCCCAACAACCUGGUCAUCUCGUGGACACCCAUGCCCGAGAUCGAGCACAAUGCCCCCAAUUUCCACUAUUAUGUGAGCUGGAAACGCGAUAUCCCCGCUGCUGCGUGGGAGAACAAUAACAUAUUCGACUGGCGGCAAAACAACAUUGUGAUUGCCGAUCAGCCGACGUUCGUGAAGUACCUGAUCAAGGUGGUGGCCAUCAACGAGAGGGGCGAGUCCAAUGUGGCCGCCGAGGAGGUAGUUGGCUACUCUGGCGAAGAUCGUCCUCUGGACGCACCCACCAACUUUACGAUGAGACAGAUCACAUCCUCGACCAGUGCCUAUAUGGCAUGGACGCCCGUCAGUGAGGAAUCGGUGCGGGGACACUUCAAGGGCUACAAGAUCCAGACGUGGUCGGAGAACGAGGGCGAGGAGGGUCUGCGAGAGAUUCACGUGAAGGGUGAUGCCCACAACGCACUGGUCACCCAGUUCAAGCCCGACUCGAAGAACUUUGCCCGCAUUUUGGCCUACAAUGGACGCUUCAAUGGCCCACCCAGUGCCGUCAUCGAUUUCGAUACACCCGAGGGUGUGCCAUCGCCGGUUCAGGGCUUGGACGCCUAUCCCCUGGGCUCCUCGGCCUUCAUGCUGCACUGGAAGAAGCCGCUGUAUCCCAAUGGCAAGCUCACUGGCUACAAGAUCUACUACGAGGAGGUUAAGGAGAGCUAUGUGGGCGAGCGACGCGAACACGAUCCCCACAUCACCGAUCCCAGGAUCACACACAUGAAGAUGGCCGGCCUGAAGCCCAACUCUAAGUACCGCAUCUCCAUCACGGCCACCACGAAAAUGGGCGAGGGAUCUGAACACUAUAUCGAGAAGACCACGCUAAAGGAUGCCGUCAAUGUGGCCCCUGCCACGCCCUCUUUCUCCUGGGAGCAACUGCCAUCCGACAAUGGACUAGCCAAGUUCCGCAUCAACUGGCUGCCAAGUACCGAGGGUCAUCCGGGCACACACUUCUUCACGAUGCACAGAGUCAAGGGCGAAACCCAAUGGAUACGCAAAGAUGAGGAGAAGAACGCCGAUUACCAGGUGGUCGGUGGCUUGGAUCCGGAGACCGCCUACGAGUUCCGUGUGGUCUCCGUGGAUGGCCACUUCAACACGGUGAGUGCCACGCAGGAGAUCGACACGAACACCGUUGAGGGACCCAUAAUGGUGGCCAACGAGACGGUGGCCAAUGCCGGUUGGUUCAUUGGCAUGAUGCUGGCCCUGGCCUUCAUCAUCAUCCUGUUCAUCAUCAUCUGCAUUAUCCGACGCAAUCGGGGCGGAAAGUACGAUGUCCACGAUCGGGAGCUGGCCAACGGUCGGCGGGACUAUCCCGAAGAGGGCGGUUUCCACGAGUACUCGCAACCGUUGGAUAACAAGAGCGCUGGUCGCCAAUCCGUGAGUUCAGCGAACAAACCCGGCGUGGAAAGCGAUACCGAUUCGAUGGCCGAAUACGGUGAUGGCGACACAGCUGUGGCCACAGCCGCUGCUCGCGCCGCUGCCGCAGCACGCAGCAAGUCGACGUCGCUGCCAACGUCCACCCAACAACAGCAACAGCAGCAGCAGCACCAACAACAACAACAACCUCAGUCGACGUCGGCGUCAACUGUUCCAUUGCUCCCCUCGGCCCCACCCUCUUCCACCUCCAACCCCAGUGCCGCCCCGCCCUCCUACGAAGUGUGCGUGGCGGAUGCUGAGCACCGCAAGGGCUAAGAGAGAGUGCGGUGAAAAGGGGAGCGAUCCUUUCGCUCUCCCAUUCAAAGUUGUUGUUGUUAACCAAUCAGUCAGGCAUGAAUGAAGAUGGAUCCUUUAUUGGCCAAUAUGGACGCAAAGGACUUUGAUUUAAUUAGUAAGCAGCGCACGGCAACAACAACUCAAAAAUAAUAUCGAAACCGAGCCCUAAACCCCAAAAAUCAAAAAAACCAACAAGACCAAACACCAUCACAGCAGAAAAUGCAGAAAAAGCAGAAAAGCAAAAAAAUAAAUGGAAAUAGUAGCCUACAUUUUAUUCGACUAAGUGCAAACGCCACGACUAAUUUAAAGUAUAUAUAAAAAUAGAGGUUUUAUAUAUAACUAUUAAAAUCUAAAUAUGUAUAAAAAAAAUGCAAAUCAAUACUGCCAAACAAAUUGAACAACAAACAACACAACAACAGCAACAACAACGAGAAUGCAGCUAAAAGGCUAUUAUCAAAAUAAAAGUCUUCAUAUCGGAAGAAGUAGUUAUCGAAAAGAAAUGCAUGCGAAUCAAACCGAAUUAUGACGAAAAAAAAACAUAUCUUUUUCUGAACGUUAUUGGAAGGAUGCGUGUAAUUUUUUUGUUAAGAAAUUUAAGAAACUAUGUAUGAGGAAAAUAAUGAGCUCGCUUAUAAAAUCUCUAUAUUGCGCACAUGUCUACCUGUCCCACUCUGUCCCCGGUACUCUGUAUAUCUCUGUCCCGCUCUCUCCCUUCUUUACUUGUAAUGCAUAUAUAUUUAUAAAUAUAAAGCGUAAAUAAGUUAUAAUUUAGUAAUUUUUUUAUAAAGCAACUGCACUUGAAUGUCAAAUCUCCGUUUUAGAUUGGUCGUAAAUCGAAAUGAAACUCUCGUUUAGCUUACAUGUUUACUACUUUAUUUAAGCCUAUUGUGUGUAUUUUGUUUUUAUUUCAUUAUUUUAUUUUUUUAGUUUGUGUAAUGACUUUGAAUUUUUUUUGCUUUGAAACAAUGUUUUAGAAUAGCCUCCGGGAAGAGCAACAAAAAUGAAGUGUAUUUUUUCAGUGUAUUUAAUAUUAAAGAAUGAAUGAAAAAAAAAAACAUCAUAAUUAUAUGAAAAUAUAAUUUUUUUACAUAUGUUGAUGUACGUUCGCAUAUUAAUUUAGAAAGAAAACCAAUAAAAUAAAGAAAACCGAAUAAUAAAUCUUA